CGCGGACAACCGGAAAAUAAAGUUGGGUUAUUAUGUUGUGAUAUUUUAUAUGUUACAAAUAAUGUAAAAUAAAUAUAAUAUAAUUAAAAGUGAGCGAAUUCUGAUGAACGAAGAUUUCUUAAUGUAUUCUAACUUCAAUUGAAUGGAACUUUUUCGGAAGCAGUUGAGUAAAAUGUCCAUGAUAAUUGCAAGCUGUCAAAAUUAGUAUUCUUUUUGGUUUGGCUGAUCGAUAAUGGAUAAUUUAAAAACCACCUUUUUCAUCACAUCUAUCGUCACCAUCAUAAGUGUUUGGUGUGUUGUAUUAUCAUUUGCAAGUCUAUGGAAUAUUCCGCUGUUAAAAUGCCCAGAAGGUCAAGCCAGAAUACACACCGGAGAAUGUGUACGUUUCUUUACCAUUAAUUUCGAUGAUCCUAAUCAUAUUAAACAACCAGCGUCAUUUACGCCUGAGAAGACUAUUAAGGAAAAUGAGGAAAAGUUACUUGAGCUAUUAAGAUCGCUACCAUUACUUAAAACUUAUGCUGAUUAUGACUACGAGUACUGAGUUAAAAGCCCCUAUUAUUGACAGGGCCCUCACUAUUGACACCCUAUUUAAUUUCAUUGUUGAAAUCGGUUAAUAAAAACAAUUUUUAAUAUUUCA
rnacentral:lncRNA from 1 species